rnacentral:rRNA from 1 species
UACGUAGGGUGCGAGCGUUAAUCGGAAUUACUGGGCGUAAAGCGUGCGCAGGCGGUGAUGUAAGACCGAUGUGAAAUCCCCGGGCUUAACCUGGGAACUGCAUUGGUGACUGCAUUGCUGGAGUAUGGCAGAGGGGGGGUGGAAUUCCACGUGUAGCAGUGAAAUGCGUAGAGAUGUGGAGGAACACCGAUGGCGAAGGCAGCCCCCUGGGCCAAUACUGACGCUCAUGCACGAAAGCGUGGGGAGCGAA